rnacentral:lncRNA from 1 species
ACCUCCGAAAUAGGUUUGUAAAAAAAUUGAAAAAAAAUUGAAAAAAAAUUUUGUGAAUUUCAAAGCUCUUUUAUAUUAAUCCAAAUUGUAUUUGAAGUAUAAAAAAAAGAAAAAAAACGAAGUCUAGAAAAAGAAAGAAGUUUGUAUUUAGCAUUUAAGUUUCUGAUUCAACAUUUCUCAUUGUUAUCAUUCCUCUACCUUUACGCCACAUUCCGAAGACCCAUAUAUUUCCUUUUAGCCAACCUUUCACCAUAACAUUAAUUCCCUUGAAACCCUUUUGAAGCCGACC